rnacentral:rRNA from 1 species
CCUACGGGUGGCAGCAGUGAGGAAUAUUGGUCAAUGGUCGGGAGACUGAACCAGCCAAGCCGCGUGAGGGAUGAAGGUACAGAGUAUCGUAAACCUCUUUUGUCAGGGAACAAAGGCGGGGACGUGUCCCCGGAUGAGUGUACCUGAAGAAAAAGCAUCGGCUAACUCCGUGCCAGCAGCCACGGUAAUACGGAGGAUGCGAGCGUUAUGUGGAUUUAUUGGGUUAAAGGGGGGCGCAGGCGGUCUGUUAAGUCAGCGGUAAAAGCCCGGGGCCCAACCCCGGCCCGCCGUUGAAACUGGCAGUCUCGAGUUGGAGAGAAGUAUGCGGAAUGCGCGGUGUAGCGGUGAAAUGCAUAGAGAUAGCGCAGAACGCCGAUGGCGAAGGCAGCAUGCCGGCUCCACACUGACGCUGAGGCACGAAAGCGUGGGUAUCGAACAGGAUUAGAUACCCCGGUAGUC